GAAACAUCUUUUCACUGGAAGACUUUGGCACCUGCUGUCACAUUGGAACACUGGGACAGGAACAGAAUUUUUGCACUGUUUAUUAUCUGUUGGCCGCAACGGUUGGAACUGUGUACAUUUGAAGCCAGGAGCAAGGAGCUUUCUCUGGGUCUCCCAUGUGGCUGCAGGGUCUCAAGGCUUUGGGCUAUCCUCAACUGCUUCCCCAGGCCACAAGCAGGGAGCUUGAAGGAAGGUGGAACAGCCAGAAUAUGAACUGGAGCCCAUAUGGGAUCCUGGGCAUGCAAGCAGGAAACAGUAUAUUGGAAAAUGCCUGCAUGUCACCUGACAACCAAGGAAAGAAUGGGGAAUGAGAAGAGGCAGAUGGAAUGGCUGGAAGAUUGAUUACAGUGAGUAAAUACACACAGGUAUUGAGGGUAAGUGGAGCUGGGGAUUUACAAAUACGGAAAGGUAGCAGACUGGAAAGAACUAAAAGAUGUUAGAUUGGCAUGUGUGUUUGCACAUGCCUGGAGAAAAGUAGGAUUCACAAAUUCAAGCCCACUCCUCCUCCAUCCAACUUCACCUGUAUCUAUCUCCUGUCCUUCGUAUUCCUCUCUAGCUCCAAACCAGUCAGGAGCAACGAGUGCCCAGGUCUGAGCUGCAAAAGAAACCUCCUGCUCUGUUGGGGGCACUUGACUGAUUUGCACCCAUUCCCAUAGUAGUCCAAUGAGACUGACACAGGACACUCCUAGGGGCGGAAAUAG